rnacentral:rRNA from 1 species
GACGAACGCUGGCGGCGUGCUUAACACAUGCAAGUCGAGCGAUGAAGUUCCUUCGGGGACGGAUUAGCGGCGGACGGGUGAGUAACACGUGGGCAACCUGCCUCAAAGUGGGGGAUAGCCUUCCGAAAGGGAGAUUAAUACCGCAUAAAAUUGGUUCUUCGCAUGGAGAGUUAAUUAAAGGAGUAAUCCGCUUUGAGAUGGGCCCGCGGCGCAUUAGCUAGUUGGUGAGGUAACGGCUCACCAAGGCAACGAUGCGUAGCCGACCUGAGAGGUGAUCGGCCACAUUGGAACUGAGAUACGGUCCAGACACCUACGGGUGCUG